rnacentral:rRNA from 1 species
UGGGGAAUAUUGGACAAUGGGCGCAAGCCUGAUCCAGCAAUGCCGCGUGUGUGAAGAAGGCCUUCGGGUUGUAAAGCACUUUUAUCAGGAGCGAAACGCUGUCGGCUAAUACCCGGCGGAACUGACGGUACCUGAGGAAUAAGCACCGGCUAACUUCGUGCCAGCAGCCGCGGUAAUACGAAGGGUGCAAGCGUUAAUCGGAAUUACUGGGCGUAAAGCGUGCGUAGGCGGUUUCUUAAGUCUGCUGUGAAAUCCCCGGGCUCAACCUGGGAAUGGCAGUGGAUACUGGGAGGCUAGAGUGUGUCAGAGGGUGGUGGAAUUCCCGGUGUAGCGGUGAAAUGCGUAGAGAUCGGGAGGAACAUCAGUGGCGAAGGCGGCCACCUGGGACAACACUGACGCUGAGGCACGAAAGCGUGGGGGAGCAAACAGGAUUAGAUACCCUGGUAGUCCACGCCCUAAACGAUGCGAACUGGAUGUUGGUCUCAACUCGGAGAUCAGUGUCGAAGCUAACGCGUUAAGUUCGCCGCCUGGGGAGUACGGUCGCAAGACUGAAACUUAAAUGAAUUGACGGGGUCAUAGCUGUUUCC